UACGGAAGGCAGCAGGGGGAAUAUUGCACAAUGGGCGAAAGCCUGAUGCAGCUAUGCCGCGUGUAUGAAGAAGGCCUUAGGGUUGUAAAGUACUUUCAUCGGGGAGGAAAAACAAAACUAAUAAUUUUAUUUCUUGACGUUACCCGAAAAAGAAGCACCGGCUAACUCCGUGCCAGCAGCCGCGGUAAUACGGAGGGUGCUAGCGUUAAUCAGAAUUACUGGGCGUAAAGAGCACGUAGGUGGUUUUUUUAAGUCAGAUGUGAAAUCCCUGGGCUUAACCUAGGAACUGCAUUUUGAAACUGAAAUACUAGAGUAUCGUAGGGGGAGGUAGAAUUCUAGGUGUAGCGGUGAAAUGCGUAGAUAUCUGGAGGAAUACCUGUGGCGAAAGCGGCCUCCUAAACGAAUACUGACACUGAGGGUGCGAAAGCGUGGGGAGCAAACAGGGAUUAGAUACCC
rnacentral:rRNA from 1 species